AUUGAACGCUGGCGGCAGGCCUAACACAUGCAAGUCGAGCGGAUGAAGGGAGCUUGCUCCUGGAUUCAGCGGCGGACGGGUGAGUAAUGCCUAGGAAUCUGCCUGGUAGUGGGGGAUAGCGUCCGGAAACGGGCGCUAAUACCGCAUACGUCCUGAGGGAGAAAGUGGGGGAUCUUCGGACCUCACGCUAUCAGAUGAGCCUAGGUCGGAUUAGCUAGUUGGUGGGGUAAAGGCCUACCAAGGCGACGAUCCGUAACUGGUCUGAGAGGAUGAUCAGUCACACUGGAACUGAGACACGGUCCAGACUCCUACGGGAGGCAGCAGUGGGGAAUAUUGGACAAUGGGCGAAAGCCUGAUCCAGCCAUGCCGCGUGUGUGAAGAAGGUCUUCGGAUUGUAAAGCACUUUAGGUUGGGAGGAAGGGCAGUAAGUUAAUACCUUGCUGUUUUGACGUUACCAACAGAAUAAGCACCGGCUAACUUCGUG
rnacentral:rRNA from 1 species